rnacentral:misc_RNA from 1 species
GAUGAAGAACGUAGCGAAAUGCGAUAAGUAAUGUGAAUUGCAGAAUUCAGUGAAUCAUCGAAUCUUUGAACGCACAUUGCGCCCCUUGGUAUUCCGGGGGGCAUGCCUGUUCGAGCGUCAUUAUAACCCCUCAAGCUCAGCUUGGUGUUGGGGCCUGCCGACUGGCAGCCCUUAAAAUCAGUGGCGGCGCCAUCUGGCUCUAAGCGUAGUAAUUUCUCUCGCUAUAGAGUCCCGGUGGAUGCUUGCCAGCAACCCCCAACUUUCUAUGGUUGACCUCGGAUCAGGUAGGGAUACCCGCUGAACUUAAGCAUAUCAAUAAGCGGAGGA